UCCGGUUUGUCACCGGCAGUCUCGCAUGAGUCCCCAACUAAAUGCUGGCAACAUGCGACGGGGGUUGCGCUCGUUGCGGGACUUAACCCAACACCUCACGGCACGAGCUGACGACAGCCAUGCAGCACCUUGCUUUGUGCCCCGAAGGGAAGUACCGUCUCCGGUACCGUCACGCGCAUUCUAGCCUAGGUAAGGUUCCUCGCGUAUCAUCGAAUUAAACCAAAUGCUCCACCGCUUGUGCGGGCCCCCGUCAAUUCCUUUGAGUUUCGCCCUUGCGGGCGUACUCCCCAGGUGGAUUACUUAACGCUUUCGCUAAGACGCGGACAUUGUAUCGCCCACAUCGAGUAAUCAUCGUUUACAGCGUGGACUAC
rnacentral:misc_RNA from 1 species